UAGUCCACGCCCUAAACGAUGUCAACUGGUUGUUGGGAAUUUAUUUUCUCAGUAACGAAGCUAACGCGUGAAGUUGACCGCCUGGGGAGUACGGCCGCAAGGUUAAAACUCAAAGGAAUUGACGGGGACCCGCACAAGCGGUGGAUGAUGUUCUUUAAUUCGAUGCAACGCGAAAAACCUUACCCACCUUUGACAUGUAUGGAAUCCUUUAGAGAUGAAGGAGUGCUCGAAAGAGAGCCAUAACACAGGUGCUGCAUGGCUGUCGUCAGCUCGUGUCGUGAGACGUUGGGUUAAGUCCCGCAACGAGCGCAACCCUUGCCAUUAGUUGCUACGAAAGGGCACUCUAAUGGGACUGCCGGUGACAAACCGGAGGAAGGUGGGGAUGACGUCAAGUCCUCAUGGCCCUUAUAGGUGGGGCUAGAAACGUCAUACAAUGGCCGGUACAAAGGGUAGCCAAGCCGCGAGGUGGAGCCAAUCCCCAUAAAGCCGGUCGUAGUCCGGAUCGCAGUCUGCAACUCGACUG
rnacentral:rRNA from 1 species